UGUUUCGGCUAGGGGGUCAUCCCGACUUACCAACCCGAUGCAAACUACGAAUACCGAAGAAUGUUAUCACGGGAGACACACGGCGGGUGCUAACGUCCGUCGUGAAGAGGGAAACAACCCAGACCGCCAGCUAAGGUCCCAAAGUCAUGGUUAAGUGGGAAACGAUGUGGGAAGGCACAGACAGCCAGGAUGUUGGCUUAGAAGCAGCCAUCAUUUAAAGAAAGCGUAAUAGCUCACUGGUCGAGUCGGCCUGCGCGGAAGAUGUAACGGGGCUAAACCAUGCACCGAAGCUGCGGCAGCGACACUAUGUGUUGUUGGGUAGGGGAGCGUUCUGUAAGCCUGCGAAGGUGUGCUGUGAGGCAUGCUGGAGGUAUCAGAAGUGCGAAUGCUGACAUAAGUAACGAUAAAGCGGGUGAAAAGCCCGCUCGCCGGAAGACCAAGGGUUCCUGUCCAACGUUAAUCGGGGCAGGGUGAGUCGACCCCUAAGGCGAGGCCGAAAGGCGUAGUCGAUGGGAAACAGGUUAAUAUUCCUGUACUUGGUGUUACUGCGAAGGGGGGACGGAGAAGGCUAUGUUAGCCGGGCGACGGUU
rnacentral:rRNA from 1 species